rnacentral:rRNA from 1 species
AGAGUUUGAUCCUGGCUCAGGAUGAACGCUGGCGGCGUGCCUAAUACAUGCAAGUCGAGCGAACGGACGAGAAGCUUGCUUCUCUGAUGUUAGCGGCGGACGGGUGAGUAACACGUGGAUAACCUACCUAUAAGACUGGGAUAACUUCGGGAAACCGGAGCUAAUACCGGAUAAUAUUUUGAACCGCAUGGGUCAAAAGUGAAAGACGGUCUUGCUGUCACUUAUAGAUGGAUCCGCGCUGCAUUAGCUAGUUGGUAAGGUAACGGCUUACCAAGGCAACGAUGCAUAGCCGACCUGAGAGGGUGAUCGGCCACACUGGAACUGAGACACGGUCCAGACUCCUACGGGAGGCAGCAGUAGGGAAUCUUCCGCAAUGGGCGAAAGCCUGACGGAGCAACGCCGCGUGAGUGAUGAAGGUCUUCGGAUCGUAAAACUCUGUUAUUAGGGAAGAACAUAUGUGUAAGUAACUGUGCACAUCUUGACGGUACCUAAUCAGAAAGCCACGGCUAACUACGUGCCAGCAGCCGCGGUAAUACGUAGGUGGCAAGCGUUAUCCGGAAUUAUUGGGCGUAAAGCGCGCGUAGGCGGUUUUUUAAGUCUGAUGUGAAAGCCCACGGCUCAACCGUGGAGGGUCAUUGGAAACUGGAAAACUUGAGUGCAGAAGAGGAAAGUGGAAUUCCAUGUGUAGCGGUGAAAUGCGCAGAGAUAUGGAGGAACACCAGUGGCGAAGGCGACUUUCUGGUCUGUAACUGACGCUGAUGUGCGAAAGCGUGGGGAUCAAACAGGAUUAGAUACCCUGGUAGUCCACGCCGUAAACGAUGAGUGCUAAGUGUUAGGGGGUUUCCGCCCCUUAGUGCUGCAGCUAACGCAUUAAGCACUCCGCCUGGGGAGUACGACCGCAAGGUUGAAACUCAAAGGAAUUGACGGGGACCCGCACAAGCGGUGGAGCAUGUGGUUUAAUUCGAAGCAACGCGAAGAACCUUACCAAAUCUUGACAUCCUUUGACAACUCUAGAGAUAGAGCCUUCCCCUUCGGGGGACAAAGUGACAGGUGGUGCAUGGUUGUCGUCAGCUCGUGUCGUGAGAUGUUGGGUUAAGUCCCGCAACGAGCGCAGCCCUUAAGCUUAGUUGCCAUCAUUAAGUUGGGCACUCUAAGUUGACUGCCGGUGACAAACCGGAGGAAGGUGGGGAUGACGUCAAAUCAUCAUGCCCCUUAUGAUUUGGGCUACACACGUGCUACAAUGGACAAUACAAAGGGCAGCGAAACCGCGAGGUCAAGCAAAUCCCAUAAAGUUGUUCUCAGUUCGGAUUGUAGUCUGCAACUCGACUACAUGAAGCUGGAAUCGCUAGUAAUCGUAGAUCAGCAUGCUACGGUGAAUACGUUCCCGGGUCUUGUACACACCGCCCGUCACACCACGAGAGUUUGUAACACCCGAAGCCGGUGGAGUAACCUUUUAGGAGCUAGCCGUCGAAGGUGGGACAAAUGAUUGGGGUGAAGUCGUAACAAGGUAGCCGUAUCGGAAGGUGCGGCUGGAUCACCU